AUCUUGCUACCUUUUCAUUCUGGAGGAAACCUGAGCAUUUGGAACUUCCUUGGAGUUCUUUUCAGUGCUAAGGACCAUUUGCGCAUAGUAUGGAUUGAGAGCCCCAGUAGAAGUACUUGUGCUUGCUGAUUAGAAUAUACGACUGAGUAUAAAUUGCAUUGCUAGCUCAGUGACAGGUACUGUACGUAAUUGGCUGGGAGCUCAGGGCGUUAAUAAGGAAUCUUGCCAGUUCUAGAUGCCUAAAGUCUGUUGAACAUUUUUUCUUUUAUUUGAUCCGCCUGUGGAUCUUUUACAUACCGUUUGUAAUACUUUGAUAUUCUCAUUCGGUUGUAAUAUAUUUAUCUUUUGCUUCCGCUGU
rnacentral:lncRNA from 1 species